UCUAUCUAUAGAGACAAAAAAUAAUGGAGAAGAAGAAAAUGAAUGCAGUGGCAGCCAUGGCUAUUGUGUUGAUGAUCCUUCUAUCUUCCAACACCGUCCGCGUUGCUGCUCAAGGCGUCGAUUGCUAUGACUCUUGUAACACCGCCUGUGUUGGUCUCCCAUCGAGAGAGUACCAACGUUGUGAUGAAAAGUGUCGGAUUAGGUGCGGACCAGAUCGCAAAAUUGAUACAAACCUGGGUUGAAAGUGCUGAAA